AUCUGAGCGAAUCACUUUGUCUAAGUGGCUGUGAAGUCUCACUUGGAUCGAUAACAUUGUGCCCUGAUAAUCACACAUGUGUUGGUUUGACGUUUAACUAUACGUGCGAACCUGUAUGUGUGAUGCCAACCAUCAAUAACAGUUUGAGUUUAGUUCCUAAAUAUGGCAAAGAAAAUGGAUCAAUGGCUUAUGUAUUUGACCUUAUCUGUCGGAUGGGAUAUCACGCAGCACCGUCCACAACUUCGAGCAACUGUCCUCAACCAGGAGGAGAAUUCAGAAUGGUUCCUCAUUGUAGAAAAUGCGCGUGGCAGCACGCAAAUACCACAGGCUAUGAGUCAAUUAUAGACAUUGGAAAGGUGACCUGCUCUCUGGGCUAUGUGGCAGUCCCCAAUGUCAACACUACUUUCUGCAGCCAGGUAACUAAAAGCUGGGAAUACACUGCCAUUUGUAAAGGUUGCUCCUGGAAGGACAAAAAUGCAAUAGGCUAUGAGUCUAUUUCGGACACCGGAAACGUGACUUGCUCACAGGGCUAUGCGGCGAUCCAUGAUGCAAACACUCCCAAAUGCAACCAGAAAACUGGAGCUUGGAACUUUACUGCCGUUUGCGAAGAUAUAGAUGAAUGCGCUAUAUCAAAUGGUAGUUUCUGCAAUGAACAGGAUGCAUGUUACAACACCAUCGGGUCCUUUGUUUGUUGCAACAAAAAUUCUAGUUGGUCAAAUGGCCUUUGUUCACAGAAAUACGAAUGCGGGGGAAAUGAAAGCCUUCUAAUUUUAGAUACAAGUUUCCACUUGAAGAUGAGCCUGGACGUGGCACUAACUCAUUGUUCAAAGGCAGGACUGUCACUCCCGAGCAAUCCACUCUGCAUUUCAUCCGCAGUUAGCUCUGGCAAAAUUAGCAAAAGGGUUUGGCUAGUGACACCUGCUUGGCUUGUAAAGUCAAUCUUGAGCAAGGGCGGCAUAACCGAGGAUGCAUCACGUGAUGAGUUACACAACGUGGUCUGUGUCGAAUUUGCUGACUGUUUAUCGAUAAGGUGCGGUCAAAAUGAGUUCUGUAACGCGACAGGAACAUGUGAAUGUAGAAUGCCUUACUAUCACAAUG